ensembl:lncRNA
CACAUCUGUUUCUUUAGAUGUCAGGAGGAUUUGUAGGUCAUCAGGACUGAUUGUGGUUUUGGUGUGAAAGGCGCUGUGUUGCUGUUUCAUCCGAGCGCAGGAUCUGAUGACAUUAGUGCCACAUGAAUAUUUUACACACUGUGUAGAGAUGAGAUCCAUCACUCUCGAACACUCUGCUCUUCCUCUAAAGCCUUGUGUGACUCAGGAGACGUCAUUCGCUUCUCAGGGUUCUCGGCCCAGCUUUCAUGUGCACAGCUGCUCACCUUAUAGCCGGCAGUACACCCACGGCCCGUCUGCAGGCUCCCGCCGGACGCUCAAACACACAGCUGACCAGAAUCUAUUAAAGCGGCUGGAGGUCUGCGGUGACGCCCGUGACCCGAGCACCUGUCCUCUCAGGCGUCGCUGCAUUAAUGCUGAUGAUCUCACAGCGGUACAAGAGGAAGAGCUAUUUCAGCGCUCACACUCUCAUUAACAUCUCACUAAUGCAGCGUCCUACCGCUCCACACACACUCCAGCGCCGCGCUAGAACACACACAUCCACCGCACAACACCAGCACAAGGCCACAGAGGCUCACCCGGCCUUUUUGACCUCCAUAAAUGUUUGUGAUCGGCCUGUUUUAUUCUGACUGCUGUUGAACCAGAACCUCAUUAUCAUUAACCCCGAACCCUCAAACUGAUAAACACAAACCACACAACACUAAACACAAACUCCGAAAGGGACAGUUCACCCAAACAUCAAACUUUGUCAUUCCACACCAGCGUUUGACUUACUUUCCUCUGAAAAACACUCUUUUUUUCAACCUAUCAAGACCGUAAAGGUCAUUUUGGACUGAAAUUUAAUAUAAUAUAAUAUACUAUGUGAGGGAUAAUGCACGGCUAUCUGUGCAUUAAACGAUUUCCACACGUGAAAGCCAAGAACCACCUGAAAUAAAAUAAAAUAAAAUUAAAUUAAAUUAAAAAUA